rnacentral:rRNA from 1 species
GUUGAUCCUGGCUCAGGAUGAACGCUGGCGGUCUGCUUACACAUGCAAGUCGAACGCAACCUUCGGGUUGAGUGGCGGACGGGUGAGUAACGCGUGAGAAUCUGCCUUGGGGUCGGGGAAACCACUGGAAACGGUGGCUAAUACCGGAUAAGCCUUUGGGUAAAAGAUUAUUGCCCCAAGAGGAGCUCGCGUCUGAUUAGCUAGUUGGUGAGGUAAAAGCUCACCAAGGCAGCGAUCAGUAGCUGGUCUGAGAGGACGAUCAGCCACACUGGGACUGAGACACGGCCCAGACUCCUACGGGAGGCAGCAGUGGGGAAUUUUCCGCAAUGGGCGAAAGCCUGACGGAGCAAGACCGCGUGAGGGAGGAAGGCUCUUGGGUUGUAAACCUCUUUUCUCAGGGAAGAAGCUCUGACGGUACCUGAGGAAUCAGCCUCGGCUAACUCCGUGCCAGCAGCCGCGGUAAUACGGAGGAGGCAAGCGUUAUCCGGAAUUAUUGGGCGUAAAGCGUCCGCAGGUGGCGAUUCAAGUCUGCUGUCAAAGCACGGGGCUUAACUCCGUUAAGGCAGUGGAAACUGAAUAGCUAGAGUGCCGUAGGGGUAGAGGGAAUUCCCGGUGUAGCGGUGAAAUGCGUAGAGAUCGGGAAGAACAUCGGUGGCGAAAGCGCUCUACUGGACGGCAACUGACACUCAGGGACGAAAGCUAGGGGAGCGAAUGGGAUUAGAUACCCCAGUAGUCCUAGCUGUAAACGAUGGAUACUAGGUGUAGCUUGUAUCGACCCGAGCUGUGCCGAAGCUAACGCGUUAAGUAUCCCGCCUGGGGAGUAACGCACGCAAGUGUGAAACUCAAAGGAAUUGACGGGGGCCCGCACAAGCGGUGGAGUAUGUGGUUUAAUUCGAUGCA